AGAGUUUGAUCAUGGCUCAGAACGAACGCUGGCGGCGUGCUUAACACAUGCAAGUCGAGUGCGCGGUUGUAGCAAUACAACUGGCGCACGGCGCACGGGUGCGUAACACGUGGGCAAUCUGCCCUUCGAUGGGGAAUAUCUUCGGGAAACCGAAGCGAAUUCCGCAUAACAUUCCUUGGACUUCGGUUCGAGGACUCAAAGCCGUAAGGCGUCGAAGGAGGAGCCCGCGCCCGAUUAGCUAGUUGGUAGGGUAACGGCCUACCAAGGCAAUGAUCGGUAGCUGGUCUGAGAGGAUGGCCAGCCACACUGGAACUGAGACACGGUCCAGACUCCUACGGGAGGCAGCAGUGGGGAAUCUUGCACAAUGGGCGAAAGCCUGAUGCAGCGACGCCGCGUGGGGGAUGAAGCAUCUCGGUGUGUAAACCCCUUUCGACCCGGAAGAAUGCCUCGCAAGAGGACUGACGGUACGGGUAUAAGAAGCCCCGGCUAACUACGUGCCAGCAGCCGCGGUAAGACGUAGGGGGCCAGCGUUGUUCGGAAUUACUGGGUGUAAAGGGUUCGUAGGCGGUGCGGCAAGUCGGGAGUGAAAUCUCUGGGCUCAACCCAGAGGCUGCUUCCAAAACUGCUGUGCUUGAGUGUGGGAGAGGCGCGUGGAAUUGCAGGUGUAGCGGUGAAAUGCGUAGAUAUCUGCAGGAACACCCGUGGCGAAAGCGGCGCGCUGGACCACUACUGACGCUGAGGAACGAAAGCUAGGGGAGCAAACAGGAUUAGAUACCCUAGUAGUCC
rnacentral:rRNA from 1 species